UACAUAUCCUCAUACAUAUUUUUAUCUUUAGCGAAAUGUGAACCGCCAAUCGGCGUGUGUACUUACAUUGAUGAUCCCUGCCCACCUGACACAGAACGUUGUACUGAAUACGAUGAAGGAUGCAAAGUUGAGACCAACCACUGCUGCUGCAACAUAUAAGUGUCUUCAGCAUCAUCAGUAGAAAUAGCAAGGAUCCAUGGUUAAAGGUGCACUAAGAAGAAGGGUUUUAAUAAAGUGAAAAUCCACAUAAACCACA